GAAUGGUUUGCCAAAGAUGACAAAACUAACAAGGGGAUUCCAGCCGGCUGGCUGCCCAGCCUGCGUCUUUCAUCAUCUCACUUCGCUGUUCAGAAGAGAAUGCAGCUGAUGAGAUACCUCCUCCUGGACACCAUCUCUUGGAAAUGCAGGACAGCGCGUGGAGAGGCUACACAUAGAUCUGCUGGUUUAGACCACAAAAGGCUCUUCAGGCCUCGUCUCCUCCACCAGCUCCGAGUCCUGACUGCAGUUCUCACUCUGCCCUACCCCCCGCACCUUCCACGACUCUCUGGGCUUGCAUGCUUUGUUUGACAUUCUCAGAAACAUAUCCGCCAUCGAACACACACACGCACGCUGCCCAGCCCGCUGCCUUACGGGUUCUGCAACUUACUCACAAGCAUCUGUUGGUAAUAAGGCAGAGCCCGGGCCUGCCUCCUUCUGCCUGCUGCUGCCACAGCCCCCCUGCCUCUGAAAGCUGCCGCUGUAACGGGGCGGGCAGACGGGGCAGCCCGCCUGCUUCUACGGCCUCAUCACCUUCCGCACGUCCGCCCCAGGAGUGAAGGAGUGGGCGCCUGGGCGCGGCUCUCGGAAGCUGCUCUUCGCUCCCUCCCAGGGCACCUGCGUCCUGAACAGCAGAGCGCUCUGUGCCGGCUGCAGUCAGGACCCACUGAUGUUUAAACAGGUUUUGCCAGGCCCUGCUGAAAAGGAGCAUCUCUGAGGGCCUCCAGGUCUCCACAGACGGAGCCCGCGAGCAGCGUGGGUGGCUGAGGGGACUGAACCGCAGCAGGGACCGUGCCUGCUGCCCACGGGCUGUCCCUGGAGCUCGUCUCAGGCCUCUCUUUUCCCGUCAAGGUUACUGAGGAGCCCCAGGUCAUUCGGACACGGUCCUGGAGCCUCAGGAGCUCUUCCUUCUCCCUCAGCUCCAUCCGCGAGUCCAGGGUGAACGGUUUUCCUUCCGUCUCACCUGGCCCCCAGGUCUCCCCCUCGUCCGGGAGUCUGUUCUGACAAGCUUGGGCUGACACCCCUCUGACGGGCCCGUGUCUGCGCGCUGCGCGGUCCGCCGACUCCUGCGCCUCCUGCCCACGGACGGCACGGCGGCUGGUCUGGAAUGUCUCGCUCUUUACGAAUCUCCUCGUUCUUCUGACCCACCUGACCCCCAGGGGUCACGCUUCCUUUCUGGAACUCCGAGUUGUUCCACUGACCUUCCC
rnacentral:lncRNA from 1 species